UACGUAGGUGGCGAACGUUGUCCGGAUUUACUGGGCGUAAAGCGCGCGCAGGCGGACCGAUAAGUCAGAGGUGAAAUCUCCCGGCUCAACUGGGAGGGGCCCUUUGAUACUGUCGGUCUUGAGAUGCCUAGAGGAGAGUGGAAUUCCCGGUGUAGUGGUGGAAUGCGUAGAUAUCGGGAGGAACACCAGUGGCGAAGGCGACUACCUGGCCUGUUCUUGACGCUGAGGCGCGAAAGCUAGGGGAGCAAACGGG
rnacentral:rRNA from 1 species